rnacentral:tRNA from 1 species
AGCAGAAUGGCGCAGCGGUAGCGCAGUUGUUUCAUAAUCAACAGGUCGAAGGUUCGAUUCCUUCUUCUGCAA